AGGAAAUCGCAUUUGCCCAUCAAUCUUGUAUUUCGAAUAUCAAAUAUUAUAAGAAAAGGGAAUAUUACAUUUGCCUCUCAAUCUCCCAUUUAAUCCCAACGAUGCUGACCCACACUGUCUGACCCCAACCUAAACUGCCUCCAAGAAAUUUUAGAAAGGAAAAAUUUGAAGGAUAAUUCGUUUUGUAUAUAGUGUAUGCCCUGAGAGCUUUGGCCUAUCUACUUUAUUAAUCUGAGCUUCAUAAAGAAGGAAAAAAAUUUCAUGUAUUCGUUACUAUGUUUGAAUAUGUGGAGCAACAGAUUCUUGGCUUGAACAACCCCUUCCAUUCCCUGAGGAAAUGGAAAGCUCAGGACAGCCAACAGAGUCCAUUGAACAAGCUUCUGCACUUGAUGAUUCUUCAAUAGGUAUCACAAGGCUGCGGCUGAACUCUUGUUGUUGCUGCUGUUCUGAUGCAAUCUGCAAAUGAUGGUUGGAGUUAGAAUUAUCUUGCUGUAGUGGUGUCUCAGUCCCACCAGAUUGCUCCAGGUUAUCAAGUUUGGUGGUGGGGAUGACAAAAGUUCUACAAAGUGGACAAGUUGAGUUUGAGUGCAGCCAAUGAUGAAUACAUUCAAUGUGAAACACAUGUUUGCAGGAUGGAAUUUGCAGCAACUCCUCUUUGAUCUCAAAUUCCCCCAAACAAACACAACACUGUGAUUCUCUUGUCAUUAAUUCUUCAUCAAAUAAUACAAUUGGAAGCUUGUCUUUGAUCUCUUUCUUCAAGCCAAUCUGACAAACAGAGGGCGCAGAUUGAGUAGACUGGUUGGAGGUUAUUGGAAGAAUCUGAGUAGGAGAUGAUGAGAGUGAGCUGGAGGUAGCCUUUCUCUUGAGGUAGAACAAGUAAAACAAGAGCAAUAGAAUAAUGGAGAAGAGGAUAGGAAUUGAAAAUAUGAAAGUCUGGUAAAGUUUAAGUUGAAGUGCUUGAGGAUAAAGAUGAGGAGGGGUUGCAUUUGGAAGAAGACCCAUGAAUCUCCAAGCUUCUAAAAAUUAGAGACAGAAACUAAAAUCUAGUUUAGAGUUAAAAGAGAUGCAUGGGAGAGGUACAAAAGCCUUGUUGAAUGUAUUUAUGAAGAGAAUUGAAAUAGUUAGUAUU
rnacentral:misc_RNA from 1 species